rnacentral:rRNA from 1 species
UAAUACAGAGGGUGCGAACGUUGCUCGGAAUUACUGGGCGUAAAGCGCGUGUAGGCGGAUGGGUAAGUCAGAUGUGAAAUCCCCGAGCUCAACUCGGGAACUGCAUUUGAAACUGCUCGUCUUGAGUACCGGAGAGGGUGGCGGAAUUCCUGGUGUAGAGGUGAAAUUCGUAGAUAUCAGGAGGAACACCGGUGGCGAAGGCGGCCACCUGGACGGUUACUGACGCUGAGACGCGAAAGCGUGGGGAGCAAACAGG